AACGCACCUUGCGCCCUUUGGCUAUUCUGAAGGGCAUGCCUGUUUGAGCAUCAUAAACACCUUCAACUCUCAUGGUUUGCCAUGAUGAGCUUGGAACUUGGGGGUCUUGCUGGCACAUGGUUGGCUCCUCUAAAAUAAAUCAGCUUGUCAGUGUUCGACAGCAACCAUGGGUGUGAUAACUAUCUACGCUUGUGGUUUCCUGUCGGGUAACCUUCGAUCAUGAUGGAGGGUUCACUGAGGCUCAGAAAUGUCUCUCUUUGGUGGAGACAACACUUUGAAUGUUUGAUCUCAAAUCAGGUAGGACUACCCGCUGAACUUAA
rnacentral:misc_RNA from 1 species